rnacentral:rRNA from 1 species
GUGCAGCAGUCGCGAAAACUCCGCAAUACACGAAAGUGUGACGGGGCUAUCCCGAGUGCCGUCCGCUGAGGAUGGCUUUUCCCCAGUGUAGACAGCUGGGGGAAUAAGGAGAGGGCAAGUCUGGUGUCAGCCGCCGCGGUAAUACCAGCUCUUCGAGUGGUAGGGAUGUUUAUUGGGCCUGAAGCAUCCGUAGCCGGCUGAGCAAGUUCUCUGUUAAAUCCAGCGAUUUAAUCGUUGGAUUGCGGGGAAUACUGUUCGGCUUGGGGGCGGGAGAGGCCGUCGGUAUUCUUGGGGUAGGGGUAAAAUCCGCUGAUCCAGGGAGGACCACCAGUGGCGAAGGCGGUCCGCCAGAACGCGCCCGACGGUGAGGGAUGAAAGCUGGGGGAGCGAACCGGAUUAGAUACCCCCGUAGUCC